rnacentral:lncRNA from 1 species
AUGGAACUGAGUGACAUCAGUGCAAGUCUAACAGUAAUGGUCAUUCAUUAUUUCUUGUUCAGAACAAAAUUAUUUUCUUGCAAUGAGCUAUGUGGGAAUUUGAUUGUUCAAUUACAGUUAAACUUCUGCCAGAUAAAAACUGUAAAAUUUGAAGUUUACAAUUAUAAGAUAAAAAAGCUUCUGUGGAUGGCGAAUUUUGUCUUGGAACUAAUAUGUGAGACAGAAGUCACUGCAUACAAGACUAUCAGCGUUGUGUCACCUGGGUUUUCAUCAGAGACGAUUCAGCUGGCAAUAAACUUCUACAACUUGUUCCCGUUGAGACAUCGAGCAUAG